rnacentral:pre_miRNA from 1 species
ACAACAUUCGGACCGUCGGUCUACCGAGCAAUAUCCAACCGCUCGGUGGAAGAUCUUCCUUUAAAAAA